UGCCAGCAGCCGCGGUAACACGGGGGGCGCAAGCGUUAUUCGGAAUUAUUGGGCGUAAAGGGUGCGCAGGCGGAACUUUAAGUCAGAGGUGAAAUCCCAGGGCUCAACCCUGGAACUGCCUUUGAUACUGCUAGUCUUGAGUUCGAGAGAGGUAAGUGGAAUUCCGAGUGUAGAGGUGAAAUUCGUAGAUAUUCGGAGGAACACCAGUGGCGAAGGCGGCUUACUGGCUCGAUACUGACGCUGAGGUGCGAAAGUGUGGGGAGCGAACAGGAUUAGAUA
rnacentral:rRNA from 1 species